UCCCUGAUGGACUAGUGGUCAGCAUGCAGCCAGCCCUCUCAUCGCCGUGGUCCGGGUUUGAUUCCCGGUCAGUGGAA